CCUGAAGCUGAAACAUCUGGAUCCAAGAGAUGACAAAGGAGACCUUCACUGCCUGGCCAGUGAGAACUCCACAGACCUGUCUCUUCUUCUAGUGACAUUGAGUUCCCGGCCAAAGGUCAGCCAUGAAGAUCCUUUACCUUCUCUUUGCUGUUCUGUUGGUGCUCCAAGUUGCUCCUGGACUGGCAAAGCAUAGUUGGACCCCAUCGCAAUGUAGACGCUUUGGGGGUGACUGCCAUGCGGCCUGUCCCCGCUGUACUACACCAUUUAGAAGGUGUGUCACAGGGGGCGUCUGCUGCUUACGAUGGCGUUGCUGACAGCUCUGCCCAUGGUUUCGGCAGGAUCUCUGGUAAUCUGGUGACAUCCUCUCACCUCUAGAAUGACUAGAUCUUGCUACAAUGGAAGCCUGAAGCAGUGUACAUCUGGGCUGGACAGAGCCAUGUGUGCCGGAGAAAUCCAAACAGGAGAGCUUCUAUCACUGAUAAAAGAUUGCAACUCCCCUUUUAAUAAAAGCAAGUUGUUGUCA